UUGGGUCUUUUGAUUGAGUUGAUGCUGAAAUGAAUUAAGACUCUAGGGGACUGUUGGCCUGAAUUCAGGACAUUUCUCCCCAGAGGAACUGGGCUUGCUAUCUCCAGACACCUGGCAGCACUAACAAUCCGGACCUAUGCUAUGAUACAUUCUCAGCUUGGAUUUUUCUGGCUUUACAGACUUGUUGGCUUUGAUGAGCAAGCUGCCAUGUUGAAGAAGCCUAUAUGGCAAGGAACUGAGGGUAGCCUCAAGCCAACAGCUAACAAGGAACAAGCACUUAGUCCAACAGCCCUCAAGGAACUGAAUCUUUCCAACAAUAAGAAAGUGAAUUUGGAAGAGAAUCCUCCCCAGUUGAGCUUUCAGUUGGACACAAAAUUCCUGACUACUCAACAAUCAGCUCUCAAGACUCCAGCAUACUGCGAUGGCCUCAAGAGGUUUUGGUAUGCCAUCCUGAGAGGAAAAUGUCUCAAACAUCCUUUGCUACUCUAAGUGUGAUUCCUGGACAAGAAAUACCAGCAUUACCUCGGAACUUGUUAGAAAUGCAAAAUAUCAGGCCCAAAUCCAGAGGUAAGGAGUUACCACCUGCAGUAUAACAAGACACCCAGGUGAUUCUAUGGAUCUAAAGACUGAGAAUUGUUGUUUUAAGCUAGAGUGAACAGGAGUGUAUAGUUUGAAAAUGCUUUUUUAUAGUUAUUUACAUGUUUUUUGAAAACAGCAUUACUGAGCUAUAUUUCACAUACCAAACAAUUCACCCACUUAAAGUGUGUUAUUCAGUGGUUUUUAAUAUAUUCAGAGUUGUGCAAUCAUCACCACAGUCCAUUUUAGAACACUUUCAUCUCCCCAACAAGAAAUCCAAUAGCCACAGCUGUUAUUCUCCAUUUCCCCUUCAUCCCUAGGAAACUGCUAAUUUACUUUCUGUCUCUAUGGAUUUGCCUGUCCAAGACAUUCCAUCCAUAUAAAUGGAAUCAUACAAUAUGUGGUGUUUUGUG
rnacentral:lncRNA from 10 species